GAUCCUGCGCCGAAGAUUUCCGGGGCUAAAACUUACUACCGAAGCUACGGCAUCAGUAAUGAUGGGUAGGGGAGCUUCCCAUACGGGUUGAAGCAUGACCGUAAGGACAUGUGGACAGUAUGGGAGGGAGAAUGUUGGCAUGAGUAGCGAGAUGUGGGUGAGAAUCCCACAGGCCGUAAACCCAAGGUUUCCAGGGGAAGGUUCGUCCGCCCUGGGUUAGUCGGGACCUAAGCUGAGGCCGAAAGGCGUAGGUGAUGGACAACAGGUUGAUAUUCCUGUACUACCGAUAACCGUUUGAGAGAAGGGAUGACACAGUAGGAUAAGCUAAGCACACUGUUGGUUAUGUGUGCCCAAGCAUUGAG
rnacentral:rRNA from 1 species